UACCACUUUCUUUUGUGUGAGUCGGGGUCUGCAACAAAACCUUCGCUCGCGUUUUUCAGGGUGGAUAUGGCACCCUGGAAGAACUACUUGAAGUGAUCACCUGGGCUCAACUAGGAAUCCACGAUAAACCCGAUUAUUUAGGGAAGAAGGUAACGAUUUGGAGAUUGUAGGAUUGUCCUGUGUUUGAGCUGAGUUGACCCGUCCAGGUUAGUGGGCCAAUGUUUAUUGGGCCCAAAAUUCCUGUAUGAGAACAGAUGAUGCUGAUUCAGCUGUUACUUCCUGCACUUCCUUAAUUUCUUCCUGCCUCUAAUUUGGAAUGUAAAAUUACAUUCCAGAUUAUUCUCUUCAAAAUGUUAAUAAGUGUAAGAAGAAAAUUUUAAGGUGCAGAAAGCAACUGCUUACUGCUUCUUUCUUCGAUACCAUACAUGUCUGGUGGUUGCUACAGGUUGUUUCAUAAUACGUUCCUUGCCCUUAGAAGACCAAUAAGAGAAAAAAAUAACCGGGUUGGUGAGGAUUGUGGCCUUUUUGUUUUGUUUUAUUUUGCUAAACGUGUCCUUACUAAAUAGGCAAUAGCAAGUAUUGAAUGAACAAUAUGUUUAUGUUUCUAAUAAAUUAAAUAUUUUACUCUUAAUUAGUACUUCUCAUUUCAAAUAGAAAGGGAGUUUAACUUAGCUGAGUGUAAAUUAUUGUAGAUUUUUUAAUAUCUGUUUAUAUUCCUACAAAUAAAAAUAAAUAUUUUUCAUUUCAAAUUGUUAAUUAAUAUUAAUUUUACAAAACUAGUUGACAGUUUUUCUUUAUAGGUAUGGGUACUUUCACUUGCAAGUCUCAUGAUAGAAAAGAAAUAAAAAAAUUGGAUCAGUAUUAGAACUAGACAAACAAUUACUCACUUUAUUUCAAAAUAGUUGUCACCUUUAUGCUUUUAGUUUGUCUUAAAUCAUUAUUUUAAAAACCGAAGAAACAUUAAUUACAUUCUGUAACUUCAUCAUUACUUUUUUUUAAUAUACCCACUGAGUGAAACAACAUUUUUAGAAUUAAAAGGUAGUAUUGUCAAGAUAAAGCUAUAUUUUCCUAAUAGAGUAUUUGAUGACUCUUAAAACUAAUGUAAUACUUCCUUUAGUCUUUUAUAUAUAAGUAACAAAUGAGUGUAUUUCCUUUAGACUUAGAUAUAAGUAAAAAAUAAAUAAAAUUUAUUUUGAUCAGCACCUGUUUAUUAGUUUUGCUUCUGAGUGUAGCAUUCAUAUUGAUAUUUGUUUUUCGGAGUGAUGA